rnacentral:rRNA from 1 species
UACCAGCACCCCGAGUGGUCGGGACGAUUAUUGGGCCUAAAGCAUCCGUAGCCGGCCUUACAAGUCCCCCGUUAAAUCCAACUGCUUAACAGAUGGGCUGCGGAGGAUACUAUAAGACUAGGAGGCAGGAGAGGCAAGCGGUACUCAGUGGGUAGGGGUAAAAUCCGUUGAUCCAUUGAAGACCACCAGUGGCGAAGGCGGCUGACUGGACACAUAUUGACGCUGAGGCUCGAAAGCAUGGGGAGCAAACAGG